rnacentral:rRNA from 1 species
CAUGCAAGUCGAACGCCGUAGCAAUACGGAGUGGCAGACGGGUGAGUAACACGUGGGAACGUGCCCUUUGGUUCGGAACAACACAGGGAAACUUGUGCUAAUACCGGAUAAGCCCUUACGGGGAAAGAUUUAUCGCCGAAGGAUCGGCCCGCGUCUGAUUAGCUAGUUGGUGGGGUAAUGGCCCACCAAGGCUACGAUCAGUAGCUGGUCUGAGAGGAUGAUCAGCCACACUGGGACUGAGACACGGCCCAGACUCCUACGGGAGGCAGCAGUUAGGAAUCUUGGACAAUGGGCGCAAGCCUGAUCCAGCCAUGCCGCGUGAGUGAUGAAGGCCUUAGGGUUGUAAAGCUCUUUCAGCGGGGAAGAUAAUGACGGUACCCGCAGAAGAAGCCCCGGCUAACUUCGUGCCAGCAGCCGCGGUAAUACGAAGGGGGCUAGCGUUGCUCGGAAUCACUGGGCGUAAAGCGCACGUAGGCGGGUCUUUAAGUCAGGGGUGAAAUCCUGNAGCUCAACUCCAGAACUGCCUUUGAUACUGAGGAUCUCGAGUCCGGGAGAGGUGAGUGGAACUC